rnacentral:rRNA from 1 species
GCUACAGGCUUAACACAUGCAAGUCGAGGGGCAGCAUUUCAGUUUGCUUGCAAACUGGAGAUGGCGACCGGCGCACGGGUGAGUAACACGUAUCCAACCUGCCGAUAACUCGGGGAUAGCCUUUCGAAAGAAAGAUUAAUACCCGAUGGUAUAAUCAGACCGCAUGGUCUUGUUAUUAAAGAAUUUCGGUUAUCGAUGGGGAUGCGUUCCAUUAGGCAGUUGGUGAGGUAACGGCUCACCAAACCUUCGAUGGAUAGGGGUUCUGAGAGGAAGGUCCCCCACAUUGGAACUGAGACACGGUCCAAACUCCUACGGGAGGCAGCAGUGAGGAAUAUUGGUCAAUGGGCGCAGGCCUGAACCAGCCAAGUAGCGUGAAGGAUGACUGCCCUAUGGGUUGUAAACUUCUUUUAUAUGGGAAUAAAGUUUUCCACGUGUGGAAUUUUGUAUGUACCAUAUGAAUAAGGAUCGGCUAACUCCGUGCCAGCAGCCGCGGUAAUACGGAGGAUCCGAGCGUUAUCCGGAUUUAUUGGGUUUAAAGGGAGCGUAGGUGGACAGUUAAGUCAGUUGUGAAAGUUUGCGGCUCAACCGUAAAAUUGCAGUUGAUACUGGCUGUCUUGAGUACAGUAGAGGUGGGCGGAAUUCGUGGUGUAGCGGUGAAAUGCUUAGAUAUCACGAAGAACUCCGAUUGCGAAGGCAGCUCACUGGACUGCAACUGACACUGAUGCUCGAAAGUGUGGGUAUCAAACAGGAUUAGAUACCCUGGUAGUCCACACAGUAAACGAUGAAUACUCGCUGUUUGCGAUAUACAGUAAGCGGCCAAGCGAAAGCAUUAAGUAUUCCACCUGGGGAGUACGCCGGCAACGGUGAAACUCAAAGGAAUUGACGGGGGCCCGCACAAGCGGAGGAACAUGUGGUUUAAUUCGAUGAUACGCGAGGAACCUUACCCGGGCUUAAAUUGCAUUUGAAUAUAUUGGAAACAGUAUAGCCGUAAGGCAAAUGUGAAGGUGCUGCAUGGUUGUCGUCAGCUCGUGCCGUGAGGUGUCGGCUUAAGUGCCAUAACGAGCGCAACCCUUAUCUUUAGUUACUAACAGGUCAUGCUGAGGACUCUAGAGAGACUGCCGUCGUAAGAUGUGAGGAAGGUGGGGAUGACGUCAAAUCAGCACGGCCCUUACGUCCGGGGCUACACACGUGUUACAAUGGGGGGUACAGAAGGCAGCUACCUGGUGACAGGAUGCUAAUCCCAAAAGCCUCUCUCAGUUCGGAUCGAAGUCUGCAACCCGACUUCGUGAAGCUGGAUUCGCUAGUAAUCGCGCAUCAGCCAUGGCGCGGUGAAUACGUUCCCGGGCCUUGUACACACCGCCCGUCAAGCCAUGAAAGCCGGGGGUACCUGAAGUACGUAACCGCAAGGAGCGUCCUAGGGUAAAACUGGUAAUUGGGGCUAAGUCAUA